rnacentral:rRNA from 1 species
UACAGAGGGUGCAAGCGUUAAUCGGAAUUACUGGGCGUAAAGGGUGCGUAGGCGGUUUGGUAAGUCAGAUGUGAAAUCCCGGGGGCUCAACCCCGGAACUGCAUCCGAUACUGCCAGACUUGAGGACUGGAGAGGUGACUGGAAUUCUCGGUGUAGCAGUGAAAUGCGUGGAUAUCGAGAGGAACACUCGUGGCGUAAGCGAGUCACUGGACAGUAUCUGACGCUGAGGCACGAAGGCCAGGGGUAGCGAAAAGGG